rnacentral:rRNA from 1 species
AGAGUUUGAUCCUGGCUCAGGAUGAACGCUAGCGGCAGGCCUAAUACAUGCAAGUCGAGGGGCAGCGGGAGUAGCAAUACUUGCCGGCGACCGGCGCACGGGUGCGUAACACGUAUGUAAUCUGCCCAUCACAGGAGGAUAGCCCGGAGAAAUUCGGAUUAAUACUCCAUAAUAAAUUGAGUGGCAUCACUUGAUUUUGAAAGUUCCGACGGUGAUGGAUGAACAUGCGACUGAUUAGUUAGUUGGUGAGGUAACGGCUCACCAAGACCACGAUCAGUAGGGGUACUGAGAGGUUAAACCCCCACACUGGUACUGAGACACGGACCAGACUCCUACGGGAGGCAGCAGUAAGGAAUAUUGGACAAUGGCCGCAAGGCUGAUCCAGCCAUGCCGCGUGCAGGAAGACGGACCUAUGGUUUGUAAACUGCUUUUGAACUAGAGAAAACCCCUUUACGUGUAAAGGGCUGAUAGUAUAGUUAGAAUAAGCAUCGGCUAACUUCGUGCCAGCAGCCGCGGUAAGACGAAGGAUGCAAGCGUUAUCCGGAUUCAUUGGGUUUAAAGGGAGCGUAGGCGGAUUUGUAAGUCAGUGGUGAAAUCUCUUCGCUUAACGAAGAAACUGCCAUUGAUACUGCAGAUCUUGAGUACAGUUGCCGUUGGCGGAAUAUGACAUGUAGUGGUGAAAUACUUAGAUAUGUCAUAGAACACCGAUUGCGAAGGCAGCUAACGAAGCUGUAACUGACGCUGAGGCUCGAAAGUGCGGGGAUCAAACAGGAUUAGAUACCCUGGUAGUCCGCACUGUAAACGAUGAUCACUCGUUGCUGGGGGGUAACCUUCAGUGACCAAGCGAAAGCGAUAAGUGAUCCACCUGGGGAGUACGCCGGCAACGGUGAAACUCAAAGGAAUUGACGGGGGCCCGCACAAGCGGAGGAGCAUGUGGUUUAAUUCGAUGAUACGCGAGGAACCUUACCAGGGCUUGAAAGUUAG